GAUGCUUAACCGCUGAGCCCCCCCAGGCGCCCCUAUGUUUCUCUCUUUCUCUCUGUCUCCUACUGGUUCUGUUUCUCUGGAGGACUCAGACUCAUACACCUCCCUCAAAGGUUUCUUUUUUUUGGCCGCAGAGAGGAAUGAAGGAAGUCCUGCAGGAGCACAGCCUGCUAUGGUCUGGAUCACGGCACCAGCGUAGGGAGCACCAAUUUCCUUUUGCCUCCCCUUGGCUUGCUGAGCCUCAGUUUUCUCAUUUGGAAAAUGAAGGAGUUAGACUCACUAGAUAAUUUCUAGAGCUGCUUCAGCUAGGAACAUUUAAGUACACGAAACUAAUUGCUUGGGCUGCAACAUUCAAAUACAGUCAUAUCUAAAUUGGGCUUCUGCCAAGGAAGACGGGCAUGUGGGGUGUACAAAGACUAUUUAUGUAGAAACAAACCCAUUCAGGGGUGUGCAAAGAACUAGGGGGACUAAAGGGGAACUCCUGGCAGCCCUAUAAAUAUUUUUAUAAGCAUAGAUGCUUUCUCAGUGGUUGGGGAAAGCAAAAUAUGAUCUCUUCCUCUAUGCAGGAGUAACUGGGGAAAGUACCUAUUUUACCUGUCAGCGCACUUAUGUGUGUCUCCGUGCGCACAGUCAAGUGACUGUGGAGAGAAGAGACUUUUAUGGGUUCACAAAACCUAUGGCAUGAGGACGAGCGACAACACUAACUUUGGAUCUCUGACAACUUAGGGUCCAGUACGAUCUUUGUUAGAAGGGGAAAAGGAGUGCCCUAGGUUGUGUCGUAACUACAUUCUGAGCAAUUCAUCAGAAAAGUUCCCUGGAGUAUUCCAGGAUGUAAGUGUUAUUCCUUUCUUAACCGGUGGAGUGGCUGGAUACUUAAGCAUACCGGCUGGAGUACUCUGGGUCUUUGAGUUUUUCGAUGAAAUAGUCGGAGAGAUCCUCCGUGAGCUCUAUGGUGCUGUGUAAGGGUAAGUGGUUAUUAUUCUUACAAUACACACUCAAGUGAGACCCCUACUCUGAGGCUCAGGUGAAAGCGGUGGGGCUGAGAGGGCCUCCUUACCCACGUUCGAGUUCCAUGGCUUCUUUCCGGUGCACACAGGGAGACCUUGUCAGGUAGGCCAGCGAGCAAAGUUAGCAACUGCUCACCCAGCUUGAGCUGAGAGGCUCAGACACGGCUUCUUGCUCAUCAGUCCACCUGCCCACAGCCUGUCACCUGGGCCCUGGGCCACCAGCCUCUCUGCUGCUGUGCACCACGAUGCGUCCAGAGCCAUAUCCGGCACAUUCACGGUCAUGACAGCUCAUCGCUUAAAAAGAUUCAGGGCCCCUCCACUGCAUGUAAGGUAACAUUCAGGUAACUUUGCAUGGCAGACAAGGCCUUCGAAAUACACGGCUUCAGCCCUCUCUCAGCUGCGACGACUGCCCGCGCCGUGGCACCAUUCUAGGCUCUGGUCUGUCAGCUUGCAGUCUCCAAUUCCAUGUGUCCAGCAAGUAUGUGAUGCAAGCCUACUGAUGGGUUCUCCGUGCCAGGGCCGUAGCAGUAGAUAAGCCAGCGCCUGUGUCGCAGCGGGAGACGGAUGUAUUACGAUGACGCCUGGCUGACCGAGGAGCAAGGCAUGCAAACACCGCGCGGAAGAGCUUCCGCAGAGGCAACGGCCACCUCCACACGGAGCGGUUACCGGAAUCCGGAAUGCAGCGAGGAAGCAAGAGGGGAGGGGGACGUUGGGAGGGGGUAGGUGAUAGGACCAUCCAGUAAGUUCUGGAACGUCGCCGUGGGGCCUUUGGCUUUGACUCUGAGUGAAAUGGAACGCUGUUGGAGGCUUUUGUGCAGGAGUGACAUGACCUGACAAAGUCUCAAAGGCCGCCUUCGGCCGCCGUGCUACGGACGGACUGGGAGACGGGAGUGGGGAGACCAGCUGGGAAGCCGGCGGGGUAGUCGGAAGGAAGCAGCGAUGGGCGACAGCAGGCGCUGCUGAUGCUGAGCGUGGCUCCGCGGAGAUGACGGGGUGACGGGCCUCCUGGGGAGGGGUCUGGGCCGACGCGGGGCAGACACAGUCGUGAGGGGCGGGAGAGGAUGGAGGAGAGGACCUGGACGGUGCGCACGGUCACCCUCUGAGUGCUGCUGGGGAGGGGGAGACAAGUGAGGUGGAGGGAGGGAUCCCUGGGCGUGGGGUCGUCCUCCAGGGGCGGGCAGGGCAUCUGGAGCCCAGCAAGGACAGAAAGAAGCGCGGUGACCCCCACAGAUUGCGAUAAGCCCUUACAGGCCACGAGCUGGGUCGCGGGAGGGAGGGCGGUGGGAGUGACCCCCGGAGCGGACCCGAAUACUGCUAAGGGCUGUAUGAUCGCGUCGCCCCCAGUCUGUAGGUGGAAGCCCCCUCCCCAGCGUGACGGUCCAUGCGUGCGGGACCCUGGGGACGCCUCGCGGGUGGGGUGCCUGCCUUUGCAGACAGGGCCUGGGCGCUGGGGCGUCUGUGCCACGUGAAGACACAGCAAGGCCUGCGCCUGCGGCCCACGAAGGAAGCGGCUCUGAGCGGCCCUGGCCUGCGGGCACCUUGGUCUCUGGCUUCCAGACCCGGAGCUGCGAGAGAGAAACGUCGCUGGCUGCUGGGUCGCCAGAUCGGAGCCCGGGGGCCGCCGAGGAGCCGGGCCGGUGGGCAUCGAGCCUCGCAGCCACGGGGGAUCCGCUUCCAGGGCAGAAGCCUUCGGGUUGGCAGCGGCUCUGCGCCUCCGUUUGUGUUCAUCUUUGUGUCCCCGGGCCCCGCACGGUGCCUGAGGGAAUGGGGUCGAUUCACCAAGAGUCCCCAGCUGGCAGUACCCCGAGGAGGGGACAUCCGUGGUGCCUGGGCCUGAGAUCCGCUGCCGGAUGCCCGAGUGCGUGUGGGGGGCCUGGGCCUCCUGCCAGGGGACGGGCCACCCUGAGGAGGGGACACCCGCGGUGCCUGGGCCUGAGAUCUGCCGCCGGAUGCCCGAGUGCGUGCGGGGGGCCUGGGCCUCCUGCCAGGGGACCCGCCGACCCGGGCCUUCCUCACAGGCUGGCAAGGCCCGUCCCCGGGCCGGCCGGGUGCUCCCGAUGGCGCAGCCUGGAACCCGGCUCACCGACACACAAUUAGCCAGCUUUUUGUCUUUGGAUCUGCCUGGAAGUGAGUCACAUGCUGGAAAAAACCUUCUGGAAACAAACGCGGGGUGGGGGGGGAAGUAGGUUAAGUCACUCCAGCGUUUUCUUAGAUAACAUGUGGAUCUGCUGUCCCGUAAACGUUGAACACCACGCAUUUCCUCAGCCUCCCUCCGACAAAGACCCAGGGGGAUUAGUAAGCCUGACGAUUCACUCAUUUUCUCCAAGAAUUUUAUUAAAUGCAAUUUAGAGGG